rnacentral:lncRNA from 1 species
UGAAUGUGCUAAUUAACACUUCUAGCAGCAAUGCAUGAGAAUUCUAGUUGCCGCACAUAUUACACCAACACUUGGUACAGCAUAUGUGUUUUAAAAUAUUUUAGCUGUUCAGGUGGAUUUGUAGUGGUAUCUCAUUGUGGUUUUAAUUUAUAUUUCCCUGCUAAUUAAUGAUACUGAGCACAUUUUCAAAUUUUCUUUUGCUGGAGUGCAGUUAUGCAAUCAUGACCCACUGCAGCCUCAACUUCCCAGGCUCACAGGAUCCUCCUACCUCAGCCUCCUGAAUAGCUCAGACUACAGGCACACGCCACCAUGCCUGGCUAAUUUUUUUUUUUUUUUUUUGUAGAGAUGGUGGGGCAGGGGGAGUCUUACUAUGUUGCCCAGGCUGGUCUCGAACUCCUGGGCUCAAGUAAUCCUCCCACCUCCUGAAGUGCUGGUGGCAUUACAGCGUGAGCCACUGUCCCUGGCCUCA